ACAUGCAAGUCGAACGGAGAUAAAGAUUUCGGGUUUUUAUCUUAGUGGCGCACGGGUGAGUAACACGUGAAUAACCUGACCCAAAGAGGGGGAUAACACCUGGAAACAGGUGCUAAUACCGCAUAAGACCACAAUGUCGCAUGACGGAAGGGGUCAAAGAAAAUCGCUUUGGGAGGGGUUCGCGUCCCAUUAGGUAGUAGGCGGGGUAACGGCCCACAUAGCCGACGAUGGGUAGCCGAGCUGAGAGGCUGAUCGGCCACACUGGAACUGAGACACGGUCCAGACUCC
rnacentral:rRNA from 1 species